rnacentral:rRNA from 1 species
UACGUAGGUGGCAAGCGUUGUCCGGAUUUACUGGGUGUAAAGGGCGUGUAGCCGGGCUGACAAGUCAGAUGUGAAAUCCGGGGGCUCAACCCCCGAACUGCAUUUGAAACUGUUGGUCUUGAGUAUCGGAGAGGCAGGCGGAAUUCCUAGUGUAGCGGUGAAAUGCGUAGAUAUUAGGAGGAACACCAGUGGCGAAGGCGGCCUGCUGGACGACAACUGACGGUGAGGCGCGAAAGUGUGGGGAGCAAACAGG